UACGGAGGGUGCAAGCGUUGUUCGGAUUUACUGGGCGUAAAGGGCGCGUAGGCGGCCACCGCAAGUCGGUUGUGAAAUCUCUGGUCUUAACCCAGAAAGGUCAACCGAUACUGCGGGGCUAGAGUGCAGAAGGGGCAACUGGAAUUCUCGGUGUAGCGGUGAAAUGCGUAGAUAUCGAGAGGAACACCUGCGGCGAAGGCGGGUUGCUGGGCUGACACUGACGCUGAAGCGCGAAAGCUAGGGGAGCGAACGGG
rnacentral:rRNA from 1 species